rnacentral:rRNA from 1 species
GGGAUUUUGGNCAUGGGGGCAACCCUGNUCCAGCCAUGCCGCGUGCGGGAAGAAGGCCUUCGGGUUGUAAACCGCUUUUGUCCGGAAAGAAAAGGCGCUCUCUAAUACGGGGCGUUCUUGACGGUACCGGAAGAAUAAGCACCGGCUAACUACGUGCCAGCAGCCGCGGUAAUACGUAGGGUGCGAGCGUUAAUCGGAAUUACUGGGCGUAAAGCGUGCGUAGGCGGUCCGCGAAGUCUGAUGCGAAAGCCCCGGGCUCAACCUGGGAACUGCAUUGGAAACUAACGGGCUCGAGUGUGGCAGAGGGGGGUGGAAUUCCACGUGUAGCAGUGAAAUGCGUAGAGAUGUGGAGGAACACCGAUGGCGAAGGCAGCCCCCUGGGCUAACACUGACGCUCAGGCACGAAAGCGUGGGGAGCAAACAGGAUUAGAUACCCUGGUAGUCCACGCCCUAAACGAUGUCAACUGGGUGUUGGGGAAGCGAUUCCUCAGUACCGUAGCUAACGCGUGAAGUUGACCGCCUGGGGAGUACGGCCGCAAGGUUAAAACUCAAAAAAAUUGACGGA